rnacentral:rRNA from 1 species
UGGGGAAUAUUGCACAAUGGGCGCAAGCCUGAUGCAGCCAUGCCGCGUGUAUGAAGAAGGCCUUCGGGUUGUAAAGUACUUUCAGCGGGGAGGAAGGUGUUGAGGCUAAUAACCUCAGCAAUUGACGUUACCCGCAGAAGAAGCACCGGCUAACUCCGUGCCAGCAGCCGCGGUAAUACGGAGGGUGCAAGCGUUAAUCGGAAUUACUGGGCGUGAAGCGCACGCAGGCGGUCUGUCAAGUCGGAUGUGAAAUCCCCGGGCUCAACCUGGGAACUGCAUUCGAAACUGGCAGGCUAGAGUCUUGUAGAGGGGGGUAGAAUUCCAGGUGUAGCGGUGAAAUGCGUAGAGAUCUGGAGGAAUACCGGUGGCGAAGGCGGCCCCCUGGACAAAGACUGACGCUCAGGUGCGAAAGCGUGGGGAGCAAACA